rnacentral:lncRNA from 1 species
ACGACGUAGAUUGUGUCCGCCUAGAGUGACAAUCGUGCUGCGUGAGACGCCUGCUCAGUGCUCACCGAAUUUGUUGAAGAAUCCUGUUUAUUGAGAUUCAUGUGUUCUUAAGUACUCUAUCAGGGAAACAGUCUAGGAAUAAUAAUCCUGGUGGAUUAGUGACCAUAUAUAUAAUAUAUUCGUUCAUAGAAGAUAGAAGGUAGCAUGUGUGGUGUCCUCAAAGUGGAUUGGGCACCUUUGUCGCUGAUUCAAGAGAGCGUGAUCCUCAAAGUGAGUACCAUAUACAAUACGAGGAUUUCCCCUUCCCUGCCGCCUGGCUGCUCAGCAGCAGGGUUGCGCCGUUCGUCGUCAUCAUCGGCAUGUGACUGCUCUCUCGCUGGCGAGGCUUUCUCCUUGUCCUCUGCGGGGGCUGGCGUGUUGGGUUGCCAAUGGUGUUGUUCGACGUUCUCAGCGCCGUUGGGGCCUGCUGUUCGAGCCGCCCGUCGUUCUUCUAUCCUUCUCGUGCUUUUUUUUUUAAUCGAGUAGCUCACAGUCAUACCUCGUAGACUCUGAUGUGUAUGUAUUUAUUUUGUCAGUUGUUUUUUGAUUUAUUUUUUCUCAAACAUGCCCAAUAGCGUGUCUUUUUCAUAAAAAAAAGGGAGAGGCGCAAGAAACGCAAUUAGAUGCAACAAUAUAAAGCAAAAGUUACAUAAUAAAGUGAAACAAAACUAUAAGGGGCAAGCGGAGGGUGGAGUCAGGUAGCGAG